GUCCAUUUUUCUUUUUCUUUCCCUCUUCUUUCGUUCUCCUUCAUGAUAGCAGUACGAAGGAAGCAGCAGCAGCAGCAGUGAUGCAUGAGGAGAAGAAGGCCUCAGCCAGCAGCAGCAGCAGCGAUAUUAUAUGAUUGGCUGCAAAAAUUCUUGAACUUUUCUGGUGGUUUUUAAUUGACCAUACACAAAUUAGAAACGCCCAAGACAAAAUAUAAAA
rnacentral:ribozyme from 14 species